GAGGGUAGAGCUCAGUGGUAGAGUGUGUACUUAGCAUGUAUGAGGUUCUGGGUUCAAUCCCCAGUACCUCCA
rnacentral:tRNA from 1 species